rnacentral:rRNA from 1 species
GGGACGAACGCUGGCGGCGUGCUUAACACAUGCAAGUCGAGCGGAAAGGCCUUUCGGGGUACUCGAGCGGCGAACGGGUGAGUAACACGUGAGUAAUCUGCCCAUCGCUUCAGGAUAGCCAUCGGAAACGGUGAUUAAUACUGGAUAUGACAUUCCUUCGCAUGUUGGGGUGUGGAAAGUUUUUUCGGCGGUGGAUGUGCUCGCGGCCUAUCAGCUUGUUGGUGGGGUAAUGGCCUACCAAGGCUUUGACGGGUAGCCGGCCUGAGAGGGUGACCGGCCACACUGGGACUGAGACACGGCCCAGACUCCUACGGGAGGCAGCAGUGGGGAAUAUUGGACAAUGGGCGAAGCCUGAUCCAGCAACGCCGCGUGAGGGAUGACGGCCU